GCAAAACUAUGGUUUGAUGCAGCCGUAUGAUAAACAGGGCUGUUGGUGAUCAACUUUUGCGAUCGUACAUUUCCAGCAACAAAGACUAUUGAACAAAAAAAGGGAAGUAUUGAGACAAAAUGAAAUUCAUUGCGGUCUUUACGCUUGCUUCUGCACUUCAUCUGACCACGGCUGCUCCGGACAAUCGAGGCACCGAAUUUUUACUAAUGUUCGGAGAAAACCUAAUUAUCAG